GAGACACACUACACUCAAACAAUCAUAUUAUUGGCAUUGGCUCUAACCUAUCACUGAUGGCGAAGUGCCAGGAGCUCGUGAGCAUCCAAGGACUCUUGCUGCUUUCCAUGGUUCUUCUGGCAUCCUCAACUGUUUGUGCAUGCAUAAUAAAUGGGCAAACCAAAGAGGACAUCAACACCAGGAGUGUGAUGAUGACCACGACGAGUUCAGCAAGCUACAAAAUUGGUAGUGGUGAACAUCCAUUGACAGGUGUAUGCGUUCAGAGAGAAGAUGGAGGGUGGUGGUGCGGAAACGUCCGCUUUAGGACAUAUCUGGACUGCUCAUCGUAUUGCAGGAAGCACUUUGAUGGAAAGGACAACUAAUAAGUGGUCUGUUAUCUAAUGAUGCAUGUACCAUGCAUGUGGUUACAAUUUAGAUGAAAAUCAGUUUCUGGAUAUAUGUAAUGUAUUCAAGAGUUCUUGUAACAUGAUCAUAUGUAUAUCCAGCUAUAAUCUAAUAUAAUUUUUCUUUCAUCUAAAAAA